CUUCACCCUACUGCUGACAAGGCUACAGCUCUAGGCAUGCCAUCCCCUGGCUGCCCACCUAGGGUCUGCCUGUGCUUGGGUCCCAGGAGCCAGGGGCAUUCUCUGGCACUCCUACUGCCAUCCCCUGGCUGCCCACCUAAGGUCUGCCUGCGCUUGGGUCCCGGGAGCCAGGGGCAUUACUGCCAUCCCCUGGCUGCCCACCUAAGGUCUGCCUGUGCUUGGGUCCCGGGAGCCCAAGGGCAUUCUCUGGCACUCCUGGGGACCUAGAUCUGUUCACUGCACCUGCCCCAGGGGAAGGGUCUUGUUCAUACAUUUUAUUGGAUAGCUCGCCUUUCCCUUCAACCAAUACCUGAUGAUUCUGGCCUGGGGGGAACAAAGGUCCAAAGCUGCUCCCAGAAGGUUCUAGAGACUUGUGGGGGGCUAGGAGGGAGCCCUUGGCUGGGCAGGAGGAGGCGGUUAAAAGCGAUGUCAUCUUAUCACUUUGAGGCCCAUGUCCUAACUCGCCAUCUGACUUGGUAAGAUGGUGGCUCAGUCCUAUAGAAAUGCACAAUGGUCACCUUCCACGUGCUUCUGGGGCCUUCUGCAACUUCCCCGCAUCGAGUGUUUGCUUUGCCUGCAUAUCCCUUUCUUCCUUCACAGAUGAGAGGGGAGGCUUGGAGCCCCAGCCUGAUAGGGGCAUGGCUCUGCCCCCCAGUUCACCCCCCUCUCCCCUCAGACUCCUUGGGCCUUACCCUUUAUCUCCCACCCCAGAUCAACCCCCCACCCCUUUUUUCUGAGACCUAGACUUCCGUGGUCCUGUUGGGGUGGGAGUGAAAUCGAGACCUCGGGUGGCUUUUGGGUAGGCAGCUGGGGAAUCCCAGAGCCAGCGAGGAUGGGCCAAGUGAGCCGUCCUGGCUGACCUCUGUGGGUGCGUGGGCAAAGGAAGGCAGCCGUGCUCCUCGCCAGGGACCCCCACUUCACCAGGGUCUCUGGAAAGAUGUCCUCUUUCUCUCGGCCCUUGUGAUGGUCUCCAUUAAUUCCAUAUAGUUUCUAAUAUCAUUUGUCAGUGAGGUUCUGUGGUGACAAAGGUUCUUUCUUAUGCCACUCUUGUACAAAGUGGGUCUAAACAUGUACAAUACCAGAUUUCUCAGAA